rnacentral:lncRNA from 1 species
AGCUAUGUGACUGUGGGCAAGUCACUUAACUCUGUUUACUUCAAUUUCCUCAUCUGUAAAAUGAGCUGGAGAAGGAAAUGGCAAAAUACUCUAGUAUCUUUACGAAAAAAUCAAAACAAAACAAAACAAAACAAAACAAAAACUGAAAUGGGGUCAUAAAGAAUCAGAGAUGACUGAAAAACGACUAACCAACAAAGACUGGUGGUCAAAAUAAAAUUGUUCCUGCAGUACUCAGAGUUGUUAUGGUCAUGACUAUGAUGGUGGGAAAAGUGAUCCCUUGAGUAAGAUUUGGGCUCCCCUGCCAGUGAAUUCAGUCUAGAAGCACGUGGCCAGGUACUUGAGCAGGGAGCAGCAGGUGACCUAAACUCCUGAGAGUCCCAGUGGCAGUUAACGUCUCACUUCUGUGCUGAACAGAAACGACAUGAAAAUCAACCCUCACCACAGAAGCUUAUGUUGUUCUGGGGUUGUGGGAGACGCAAUAGUUACACAGCCUGGUCCAUAGUUUCAAUGAUACAUCCUAAGAAAAGCUCAAAUUGCAUCCCUCAGUUCAAACACAAAAGAAAAACGUUGAAGCAAAGACCUUGGCAUCAUUGGUCCAGGAUCCCAGAAUCACAGAAUUAGUAAGUAUCUGAGGCUGGAUUUGAAUUCAGGUCUUCCUGACUCCAGUUACUGUCCAUUACCCACCGUACCACCUAGCUUACUCAACAAAAAUCUGUCCCCUGUAAACCACUUCAUUUUUAGGAAGAUUACUGUGACCUGACUCAAAACAGCUGCCUACUUUUUCCCUCAGAUAUCUCUUAUGUUCUCAUACUUUAUCAUUACAGUCAAAACUGUCUUGUGCUUAGAGACACUAUUUUGAGUAUAAAUCUCCUCAGAAUAGGUAUAUCACAAGUACAAAUAUAUCACGUACAGUUGCCAAAUUCUUUAUAUUCUAUAAAGCUGUCUAGGAUAGUAAAACAAGAGAUAAUUAAAAUAUUAUUUGGCCAUGAUUCAAAGUUGAUUUUUAGGGGUGUAAUAAGGGUGUUCUAGAUUUAUGAUUUCAUCAGUGAGGAAAACUACCAAUGCAAAAAACAAUGAUACACUGGAUACAGGAAACUCAGCCCUAAGGUAAGGCCAUAGUGAGUUGCUUAGGGCACUAAGAGAUUAAAUGCCUUGUCCAUGAUCCAUAGCCAAUGUGAGUCAAAGGCAACACUUGAAGCCAGAUCUUUGUCAUAACAGGCUUCACCCUCUAUCCACUAUACCCUGCUAACUCAAAAUAAAACACUUCCCUCUUAUAGAUUGUAAGUUCCU